GUGAUGGCAUUGGGGACACAUGACUAAAAUGGGAAUGAUACAGAGAAGAUUAGCAUGACCUCUGUGCAAGGAUGACAUUCACAAAAGCCUAAGUAAAAUGAAAUGAAU
ensembl:snRNA U6 U6 spliceosomal RNA